AUUGAACGCUGGCGGCAUGCCUUACACAUGCAAGUCGAACGGCAGCACGGGUGCUUGCACCUGGUGGCGAGUGGCGAACGGGUGAGUAAUACAUCGGAACGUACCUUAUCGUGGGGGAUAACGCAGCGAAAGCUGUGCUAAUACCGCAUACGCCCUGAGGGGGAAAGCGGGGGAUCGAAAGACCUCGCGCGAUUAGAGCGGCCGAUGCCUGAUUAGCUUGUUGGUGGGGUAAAAGCCCACCAAGGCGACGAUCAGUAGCGGGUCUGAGAGGACGAUCAGCCACACUGGGACUGGGACGCGGCCCAGACUCCUACGGGAGGCAGCAGUGGGGAAUUUUGGAAAAUGGGGGCAACCCUGAUCCAGCAAUGCCGCGUGAGUGAAGAAGGCCUUCGGGUUGUAAAGCUCUUUUGUCAGGGAAGAAACACCGGCUCUAACACAGUCCGGGAAUGACGGUACCUGAAGAAUAAGCACCGGCUAACUACGUGCCAGCCGCCGCAGUAA
rnacentral:rRNA from 1 species